rnacentral:lncRNA from 10 species
GUCAGGGUUGGGGAUUACUGGCUCAGAAGCAGGAAAUCUCAUGUAGAAGCCCAGAACUUUCAAGAGAUAAGAAGUAGAGAGAUUCUGGUUUAAAGAGAGAUGACAGAAGCCCUGAAUGUCCUCUCUUCUGCUCCCCCAGAUACCUUCAUGGACUACAGGGCUGUACAUACGGUUAGACUCCUUGACCUCAAUGGUCAUGGGAUACAUGAACUUCAGGCUUAAUCUCUGUGUGAGAAAAACAGCAUGAAGAUAAUCAACUCUAUGUCAGAAGAAAUUGGCAACACUACUAACCACGAGUAAUGCACACCGAAGGGUUGUGAAGAGGACGUUACUAUUUGUACACUGUUUUGAGCAGUGCCUGCUGUACAGUAAGGACCAUAUAUGUGUUUAUAAAAUAAAUCUUAGUUGCUAUAGGCAACACCACGCA